rnacentral:rRNA from 1 species
GCUUUACAUUUUAUUUAUUUUUACUAAGGAGAGGGGUUAAUUGGUGGGGAUAGAAAAUGGUGUUUUGUUGGGGUGACAAGGACGUAAAUAAAAAACUGUCCAGUAAAGUAAACAAGUAAUAUUUGGAAAAUAAAAGAUCCUUUGUGAAGAUAAAAGUUUAAGUU